UGACAAUUAUUAAUAAUUACCGGUAGGACUAAAAUGAAUGAUAAUAACAAUAUCUUUAUUCCACCACUAAAACUGAUUAAAAAAAUAUUUAACGCGUUCCAGUGUUUCCGUCUACGUAAUUGUCCGCCUGAUAUUAUAUGCAGUUACCAUAAAUAUAAGACCUAACGCUUCUUUUCUUAGUUUGUGUCCAUACACCCAGACUCGCUGCAGGCCACUCGUGUUUACAGGAAUGUCUAUCAACAAAGAAUAUGUACCGGUGGCCGAUUUCUACGCGGGCAGGUCUGUGUUCCUCACCGGGGUCAGUGGAUUUCUCGGGAAGGAGGAUGCAUUUAAAAUGUGGUGCUGUUGAUGUCGAGAAUACCUUGGACUUUAUAUCGAACUAGCAAGGGCAUCCUAAAACAACUGCAUCUCAAACGAAGACAAUUUAAAUAAAUAAUAAUAAAUACAAUGCUUUAUUCAUCACGUAGGCGAUAAUUGCAUUUAUGAU